UACUUGAAACCCAAAGAAUUUGGCGGUAUUUUACUCUUCUUAAAGGAACCUGUUCUGUAAUUGAUAAUACACGAUGAUGAAUUACUUAUUUUUGUAUGCAGUUUGUAUACCUCCGUCAUAAGAAUAUCUUUUUAGAGUAAAUAUUCUUUUCAUAAAAAAUAUAAUAUGUCAGGUCAAGGUGCAAUUUAUGAAUAAGUAGAAAUGGGUUACAAUAAAAAUAUUUACACGAAUUGUUGUUUUUAUAAAAUUGCAUGAAGGUGGAUUUAAUAGUAAAAUUGUUUUCUUAUCAAUUUGACAUUGGCUCUAAAAUAUGCACACAUCGCCCGUCGCUCUUAUUUUAAAAUAAGAUAAGUCGUAACAUAGUAGGUGUACCGGAAGGUGUACCUAGA
rnacentral:rRNA from 1 species